rnacentral:ncRNA from 1 species
GUUCCAUGUGAACGGCACUUGCACAUGGGUUAGUCGAUCCUAAGGGUCGAGGGAAGCCCGACAGACAGCGCGUUUUGCGCGUGCGCCGAAAGGGAAUCGGGUUAAAAUUCCUGAACCGGGACGUGGCGGUUGACGGCAACGUUAGGGAUUCCGGACACGUAUAUAUAUAUAUAUAUAUAUAUAUAUAUAUAUAUAUAUAUAUAUAUAUAUAUAUAUAUAUAUAUAUAUAUAUAUAUAUAUAUAUAUAUAUAUAUAUAUAUAUAUAUAUGGGACGUG